UUUAUUUCAGGUCUAUGUCGCCGAGUUUGGUUGUUGGAUGUAGCGAUAUACAAGAUGAAAUGUCAAGAAAACCAGCUGAGCGCUUAAGGGUGUGGACAAAUGGACAUCACUCACACAGUAGGAACGUGAUUGCUCUGUUGGCUACUAUGUGUCAAUCACUACUCCGCGGUGUGUUUACAAACGCCGAGAUUAUCUGGGAUGAUGAGAAGUUUCAUUGCGGCAAAAGGAUGUUAUCUGGAUCUUGUGCAUACCGAGCCACUGAUGUUAAUGGGCUAAUCAGCUUUUCGAUAAGUCAACUAAUUUCUUUCUUUUUUUAAAUUUUUUUCAAAACACUUAAUAUUGUCGAUUGGUUUGCUUAAAUGUAAGUAUCGAAUUCUAUAUAUGAUUUUAGAUUUUAGAUAUUAACAUUGGAAUUGGAAAUCAUGUGUUAUGUUAACAAACAACAUCUUUCUUACGUACGCCAAAGAUUCUCUACUACGCCUGCAUUAUUCAGGAACAUCAGACAUAAGAUGCAUCCGAUGAUCAGGAUCAUCACGAUCAGAGCAACAAGACUACAGUUAAUGUACAACAAAAGUUUAGUGUUUGUGUCGUUAUUAGUCGUCGAAAUUGUUUUAGUUGGAGUAGUUGUCGUCAGGGCUUCAGUGGUCGGAACCUUCAGUCGUUGGGGUUUCUUUCGUUGGCAUUUCAGUGGUAGGAAUUAAGAAAUUGUUUGGUGCGAAUGAAUUCCCCUUCUUCCAACGUGUUAUUAUUGUCUGUAUUCAGCCAUGAGAAGAUCAAUCAUCUACCAAAAAUGGAAUAAUGCUAUACUGAUCGCACAUGCUACUCUUUUAUUGUUGAUGUUGGACAGGUGUUAAUUUCCGUCGCUGUUCAGUCCGACUUGGCCUUCGUGUUGGCCGCUGCCUUCGGUUCCAUAUCCAUCGUGCUGUAAACUGAACUUCUUCUUUCCUUGCGUUUUUUUCCCUUUUCUGUUGUUACAAGUCAUUUUGCAACUCAACUUGUAUUUUUCCUCACCCAUCCCUACCCUUUCACAUUUAUAUUUUUUUCCUCUCGCAUUCAUAAUGUCGUUUGUCGUUGUGAUUCUUGUCUUAUAAUUAUUUUCGUUUUCUGAAUUUAUUUUUAUAUUAUUAACACGGCCAUCCCUUCAAACACAGCUGGCCAGAGUGAGUACAAAAAGUGUAAUUACUGAUCCAGAAACAAAUAAAACAAGUGAAUGUUUUACAUGAU